AUAGGAUACAACGACACGUCGUGGGAUAUCCUUUAACAUUAAGUCUCUUACCAUGAUCUACAAAUCCGUACAAAUAGAAAUACCUAUACUGCGUUCUCCGCUUAACAGCAAAGACGAAGAAAGUCGUAUCUACUCUCUCCAACCCAACAACACCAAAUCACCUAUACAUUUUCCACCUUCUCCAACCUUCCAUCUUCUCUUCUAAACUCUCGUUUCUUCAUUAUGAGCUCGCCGGCGAUAUCUGGAGGCACCGGUUUCUUUACUGGAUUCACGAGGCUAUGCAAGGGUCUGGCUGUGGUUCUUGUUGCCGGUCACAUUGUAGUUCAGAUUUUGCCUCCUGCUGUUUCAUAUCUCGCUCUUAUUCCUGCCAAGUAAAUUUCAAUUUGCAAAUCAACUGUAUUUCUGUUGAUUUUUUUUUAUUUAAUAAAACAUAAAAUGAAUUAUGCACUUCAGUUUUUAUUGCCAAGUGGUAAUUAGAGAAAACAGUGCAUAGCGUAGCAUGGCA